rnacentral:rRNA from 1 species
UACGUAGGUGGCAAGCGUUGUCCGGAUUUACUGGGCGUAAAGGGCGCGUAGGCGGCCUUCUAAGUCGAACGUGAAAUCCCUGGGCUCAACCCAGGAACUGCGUCCGAUACUGGAAGGCUUGAAUCCGGGAGAGGGAUGCGGAAUUCCAGGUGUAGCGGUGAAAUGCGUAGAUAUCUGGAGGAACACCCGUGGCUAAGGCGGCUCUCUAGUACGGUACUGACGCUGAGACGCGAAAGCGUGGGGAGCGAACAGG